GCCCCGGUAGCCCAAUCAGGACGGAGGCAGCGGACUUAAAAUCCGCGAAGUGUGGGUUCGAAUCCCACCCGGGGUAC
rnacentral:tRNA from 1 species